AUAAAGGAUUUUUUAAAAUCCCUAAAUGUAACCAAGGAAGGAUUC
rfam:Alligator mississippiensis ScZkoYb_125, whole genome shotgun sequence.